rnacentral:rRNA from 1 species
GAGUUUGAUCAUGGCUCAGGAUGAACGCUGGCGGCGUGCUUAACACAUGCAAGUCGAACGAACCUUCGGGUUAGUGGCGGACGGGUGAGUAACGCGUGAGAAUCUGCCCUCAGGAGGGGGAUAACGGUUGGAAACGACCGCUAAUACCCCAUAUGCCGCGAGGUGAAAUGAAUUUCGCCUGAGGAUGAGCUCGCGUCUGAUUAGCUAGUUGGUGGGUAAAGGCCUACCAAGGCAUCGAUCAGUAGCUGGUCUGAGAGGAUGAUCAGCCACACUGGGACUGAGACACGGCCCAGACUCCUACGGGAGGCAGCAGUGGGGAAUUUUCCGCAAUGGGCGAAAGCCUGACGGAGCAACGCCGCGUGAGGGAUGAAGGCCUCUGGGCUGUAAACCUCUUUUAUCAAGGAAGAAGAUCUGACGGUACUUGAUGAAUAAGCCACGGCUAAUUCCGUGCCAGCAGCCGCGGUAAUACGGGAGUGGCAAGCGUUAUCCGGAAUUAUUGGGCGUAAAGCGUCCGCAGGCGGCCCUUCAAGUCUGCUGUUAAAAAGUGGAGCUUAACUCCAUCAUGGCAGUGGAAACUGUUGGGCUUGAGUGUGGUAGGGGCAGAGGGAAUUCCCGGUGUAGCGGUGAAAUGCGUAGAUAUCGGGAAGAACACCAGUGGCGAAGGCGCUCUGCUGGGCCAUCACUGACGCUCAUGGACGAAAGCCAGGGGAGCGAAAGGGAUUAGAUACCCCUGUAGUCCUGGCCGUAAACGAUGAACACUAGGUGUCGGGGGAAUCGACCCCCUCGGUGUCGUAGCCAACGCGUUAAGUGUUCCGCCUGGGGAGUACGCACGCAAGUGUGAAACUCAAAGGAAUUGACGGGGGCCCGCACAAGCGGUGGAGUAUGUGGUUUAAUUCGAUGCAACGCGAAGAACCUUACCAGGGUUUGACAUCCUGCGAAUCUCUUGGAAACGAGAGAGUGCCUUCGGGAACGCAGUGACAGGUGGUGCAUGGCUGUCGUCAGCUCGUGUCGUGAGAUGUUGGGUUAAGUCCCGCAACGAGCGCAACCCACGUCUUUAGUUGCCAGCAUUUAGUUGGGCACUCUAGAGAGACCGCCGGUGAUAAACCGGAGGAAGGUGUGGAUGACGUCAAGUCAUCAUGCCCCUUACAUCCUGGGCUACACACGUACUACAAUGCUACGGACAAAGGGCAGCAAGUUCGCGAGGACAAGCAAAUCCCAUAAACCGUGGCUCAGUUCAGAUCGUAGGCUGCAACUCGCCUACGUGAAGGAGGAAUCGCUAGUAAUCGCAGGUCAGCAUACUGCGGUGAAUACGU